UUAUUUCUGUUUCAAUUUUCAAUUGUUCGGCGAUUUGUUCAUAAAAGUUCCUGCUUGAAGACGCUGAAUCUGCUGAAAUCGAACGUGAAAGGAAAUGGUUUAUGAGUUUUGUUCCAAUUUCUUUAGAGUUUUUUGGUUGAAAUAGAACAUGGUUUUUGAUUUCAGAUUCUCAAUUAAUGAUUUUCGGUUGUUCGCUGAAUCAUUUUUUGUUGUUGUUAUUGUUCAACAAUUUCGAAUUAGGAUUCAUUCUUGAAGACGCCGAUUAUGCCGAAAUCGAAUAGGUUAGCAAAAGGGGUUUC
rnacentral:lncRNA from 1 species